AACGAACGCUGGCGGCAUGCCUAACACAUGCAAGUCGAACGAGAUCUUCGGGUCUAGUGGCGCACGGGUGCGUAACGCGUGGGAAUCUGCCCUUUGGUUCGGAAUAACAGUUGGGAACGACUGCUAAUACCGGAUGAUGACGAAAGUCCAAAGAUUUAUCGCCAGAGGAUGAGCCCGCGUAGGAUUAGCUAGUUGGUGUGGUAAAGGCGCACCAAGGCGACGAUCCUUAGCUGGUCUGAGAGGAUGAUCAGCCACACUGGGACUGAGACACGGGCCAGACUCCUACGGGAGGCAGCAGUGGGGAAUAUUGGACAAUGGGCGAAAGCCUGAUCCAGCAAUGCCGCGUGAGUGAUGAAGGCCUUAGGGUUGUAAAGCUCUUUUACCCGGGAUGAUAAUGACAGUACCGGGAGAAUAAGCUCCGGCUAACUCCGUGCCGGCCGCCGCCGUAA
rnacentral:rRNA from 1 species